UACGUAGGGGGCAAGGCGUUGUCCGGAUUUAUUGGGCGUAAAGCGCUCGCAGGUGGUUCGUCGCGUCGUGCGUGAAAGACCCCGGCUCAACUGGGGGAGGUCGUGCGAUACGGGCGGACUGGAGGCCAGUAGGGGGAUGCGGAAUUCCGGGUGUAGUGGUGGAAUGCGUAGAGAUCCGGAGGAACACCAGCGGCGAAGGCGGCAUCCUGGACUGGUCCUGACACUCAUGAGCGAAAGCGUGGGGAGCGAGUCCGG
rnacentral:rRNA from 1 species